rnacentral:lncRNA from 1 species
UAGAGCUUUUAGAUAGAGUGGUUCAAUAUAGUUCAAUAUACUAACCGAGUAAAAAUUCAAAACUUUCAUGAAAAUUGUGCAUCUUAUAUUGAACACAAUCCAUAUACCCAUAGCUCGGCUAUAUAUAGCUUACGGUUUAAAUGAGGCGGUUAAAUCAAUAAUUUCAUAUAUCGAUAACUGUUCUAUGUAAAGAUUAAAGUUUUAAAUGAGAUGAAUCAGCAAAAAUAAUUUUAUAAAACCGUAACUCGUCUAUAUAGAGGCAAUUGAUAGACAUAAGCAACGUGUCUGUGAUUUACAGGAUCAAGGUAUUCUCUUUAUAGAAAUAUGGUUGAUAAUAUAGAGUCAAGUUCUGAAAGGUUCAAAUACAAUAUUUAUGCAGCUGAUGCUAGUAUUCAUGACUCAGUAGAGGAGGAUCAAGGCACCAUUAAGGAGCAAGAUCGGUUGCUACCUAUAGCUAAUGUCAGCCGGAUAAUGAAGCAGAUCCUUCCUCCAAACGCGAAAAUCUCUAAAGAAGCUAAAGAAACCAUGCAAGAAUGUGUAUCAGAAUUCAUUAGCUUUGUUACUGGAGAAGCAUCUGAUAAAUGCCACAAGGAGAAGAGGAAAACAGUUAAUGGAGAUGACAUUUGUUGGGCUUUGGGAAGUUUAGGAUUUGAUGAUUAUGCAGAAUCACUCAGGAGGUAUUUGCAUAAGCAUAGGGAAGCAGAAGGAGAUAGGGCUAAUCAGAACAAAUCUUCAAACAAUGAAGAAAGGGAUUGAUAUAGUUCAAAACUUGAAGUGAAACCACUGUGAGGAAGCCUUCAGUCCCCACCCCACCUCACCCCACACCCAUCCAACGUCAGUGUAUUAUGAAUAGAAGAAUGCACCAAACUAAUAUAUUAGGUUAGGGGAUUUGUGCUUACCCCUUGGUUGAACUUUGAUGCAAAAUUUAUACUGUGGGAUUUUUACUGUUCUUUGCUUCUUUUUUGGUCCAGAAAUCUUGAAGGGAGUUCAGAUCUAUGACUCCAGAAAUUGCCUGUUUUUCUUACAAAUUUUAACUUUUGAUUACCUUAACCUGGAAACUAAUAAACCCUUGUGUUUCUGCAAUAAUUAGGCUAGUGAUUUUUGGGUUUGAUGUAAUAAGCUUGCAGUCUACAGAUAAUUGUGGGAUCUAUAUUCUUUAUGUUUCACUACAAUAAUUAAUUUCAAAUUAGGGUUUAUGUAUUACUGUUCUUGUCUAAUUUUAUCUGUAUAGUAUACUCUAUUGGCGUUUUGAUUCAAUUAAAGGCAACAGGAAUUAUGCUGAAGGUGGUAUCUUUGGUCAAGCUUGAUCAUGAUCGGGAGAUCGAUCUAGAAUAAAAGUAAGAUCUCUUUGUCUUCUUCCAUUAUUCCAAUAAUAUAAAUAAAUCUUGAUAUUUGCUUAUAUUAUAUAUGUAUCAUGUUUGUGUAUGGAUUAAUUAUUGUACAUUCAUAUAAGUGGACAGUUAAUAUAUAUGAUUGUCAGGGCUUGCAUGUAACUACUUGUAUUGGCUUUUUACCUGUUCUUAUUUGGUAAGUUAAUUGAAUUAUUUAAGUUGUUCUUGCAUAUUGAAUUGAUGUUGAAAAUCAUUUUGAUAGGGUGAUUAAAGAUAUGAACAUAUAAAUUCAGGGAUUGUGUUCAACUACUGUUGAAUUCAAACAUACAAAAGACACCUAGUGAAAUGCCCGGCGGCUGCUCCUUUAGAUAUUUUCAAUAUUUCCACAGUUUAGAUCCUAACUUAAUUGGACGCAAGAAAGAUUGUUUAAGCAUAUAUGAUUAAAUAUAUAUGAGAUCAAGUGUGCACACACCUGGUGUGUGAUUCAUAGGUGCGUACAAUUUGUCAUUCAUAUUUUGCGCGUAAAAAUGUUUGAAAUUCGAUCUAAAAAAAAGGGAUUCGAUUCACUUAAAGCAUAUAUAAAGGUUAUUACUGUUUGAACUAGUUAGAUAGGUUACAAUUUUUUUGAGAUAGGUUAUGAAAUAGAGUUAUGGCAGUACAAAAAUUCCUCAAAAGGAACAAGAAAUUUCCUGUUUGAAACCCUAGAUACCAGAAACAGGAUUUUGUUGGUCUAGAAAUGCUUGGUUUGUCGUGAGAAUUUUUUUUUUUUUUUUAAAUAAUUUCCCUAUCAACUUCUUGUAUAUAUAUAUAUUCUCAAAGUGGACUAAGCAAUUAAUCAUAUACCCAUUCCACAAGUGUGGAUGUUGACUCCAUUGUCUUGGAAAAUGAUAGCCUUAGUUUGAGGAUAUUUUCAUCAAAUAAUUGACUAAGAAAGGAAUAAUAUACAUCAUAAUCGAUUUCAUUUCAUAUCCUUUAUCUGAAGUCUACAUGGUUGUCUUGUUAUAACACGAUCAAUGUGCAGGAUAAUUUUUAUUUUAUUUUUUUGUUAAGUUAAUUAAUAAACAAAUAAAUUGGCAUAUAUGUGUUAGAAACAGAUAUUACCUUUUCAUGUUAAUAUUGGUCUAGUAAUUUAAUUAGAUGUCAUAAGAGGCUCUAAUACUUAGCUGAAUUAUGUAUAAAAAUUUGAAGAAAAGAAUAAGACCUCACUGAAGGAGACAUGGUGGAGUAAGAGCAGCUAAUUUUGUACAUUAGAAGAGCAUACUAUUACUUAAUAAUAUAUAUAUUCAAGAUUUUGGUAUCUAAGCUGAUCCCGAUCGGCGUGUCAACCGAGAGAAAAUCGAGUAAAUUCGGUUUAAACUCUUUUAUUUUCGUUGAAGCUUCCUUGGUUUGAGGGCUUAAUUGAUUGGACACCUAAGAACCAUAAUUUUUCAUACAAACUGCUUCUACAAUGAUAGAUAGGGAUCAGGUUUGUUUGGCAUCUAUGCCACCUACCCUCCAAAUAGUCUGGGAGCCUUUCAGCUUGUACUGCUCACAUCUAACUCUUGCAACACAAUCUGUUGAACCUUUUUUUUUUUUUUCAGGUGGAAACCAUAUCAAUUGUUACCUAGUAAUUAAAAGAUGUAAAUAAUUAAAACGAAAGAUUAGGGAGGGCUAGAAUUGAAACUACUUCAUAAUUAUAAAUUGAAAAUUAAUUAAUUUAUGAGGGUCAAGGGCAUAAACUUGACCUCCAAUACAAGAAAAAAUAUGGACAAAUGCAGUAUUAACAUGAUUAAACCUACUUGUAGUCAGUGUUCUAAAAAUCGUGUAAUGACAUCGUCUAGGUGAGGUACUUUCGAAAUUCCACAUAUGAGCAAGGCUUGAAAAAUUGCACUCAACUCCUUUUUGAAGGCCUAUUGCGGACUAAACAAGCUUAGGCACCAAAAGGCGUGUGAUUUUUAUUUUUUUUAAAUAAAAAUAAAAAUCCAAUUAUUUCUUCUUGGACUGAAUAACCUACUUGGAAUUAGGCACUAAAUUAGUAUGGACGACUUCUUGGCUCCUAAAAGGGAUCUUCUGCUUUCAAUUUUCAAUUAUCUAAUCCUUGGAAACUUAGAGAAUGUCCAGUUUAGAUGAUCAAGUAAUUAUAUAUUUAUAAUUUAUUUGUUUUCAUUGAACUAAAUUUAAUUAUUAAUGAGUAACUAAAAAUAUUAAAAAGUGUUUUGAUAUGCCUAAUCUUCAUAUAGGAACGUUGGUUUGUAAGACUUGAGAUUGGUGUUGCUAUCUUGACACGCUUAACGCCUUUUAAAGCACUACUUCUAGGAUAAGAAUGGUAACUAGAUAGUCAUUACUAUCUAGUGAUGGCAUUGGGCGGGACGACGGCUAGCCCCGUUAGCCGUCCCGUUUAUUUUAUUAUUAUUAUUUUAUUCUUUCUCUUCACGGGGCAGGGCAUCCGUGCCCCACCUCGACAUAGAUUUUUGGAAGACGGAGAGAUCAGGGCAAGAUGGGGUUAAAAAAUCUCAUUUACCAUCCCGUUUAAUUUUUUUUAUUUUUAAAAAUUCUAUUAUUUGAAUUGAAAAGGAUAAAAAUAAUUUUUUUUAAAAAAAAUUACUAUGUUCCCCAUCCUCGCUCCAUUAAACAUUUUGUGGUUGAGAUUUCCCACCUUUCAAUGUCCAGAACGGGAGCGAAAACAUUGUAAUAGAAAUCUAUAAGUAAUUUAGAUUUGUCAAGAAUAACAAACCAAUAGGUAUUUGGGUACUAAUUGUAAAAUCUUUGCUACAUAACUAAAAGGGUAAAUUCCUUUUAAAAUCUCCAACUUUUAACAAGUGUGACAGCCAUAUUUUCAAAUCUUUUAUUAUAGAACCCAUUGAAAUUGUUAUCCUACUCACAAUAUGCUUACGAUAGGUAGGAUAAAGCUGCUCAUUUGUUAAUGUGAUACGAGAACCUUACUUAUGGUUCUCUCCAAACGUGAGAACCAUAAGCAAGGUUCUCUUCAAUGUGGGUGAGAUAAGGCUUCCCAAUGUGGUUAAGAGAACAUGAGUGUAGAACCCAUAUCCUCAAUCUUUUAACAUUGUGUACCCGUGUUUAUUUGUUUAUUAAAGGGAAAUUUGCAAAAAUAGUCCGUAAUCUUCGGAGUUGCUUCAUUUUUCUAUAUCGUUUCUAUCCGAUUGACCAUUAAAAUGUCAAAAUUUUGAUAUAAAGACUAAAAUAGGUUACUUUAGUUAAAUAAAAUAAUUAAAAAUUAUGACACAAAAAGAAAAAUUACCUCAUCCUAUCAACCAAUCCCCAAUCAAAGCAUCUCCAAUGCAAUCGUAGAUUGUAUAAAAAGUUGUGUAAUAUAUGCAAAAGAGAAUGUGUUUGAAAAAUUUAUGCUAGUCAAUAGGAAAUUCAUCAAAAUGAUGUAGCAAAUAAAAAUAGAUCUUUUCUAGAGCCCCAUCUAUACAGAAGCUAUGUUAAAUGUGCUAACUCAACAAAAUUCAUAUUUCACAUGCA